rnacentral:misc_RNA from 1 species
GCGGCCUUCUCUUUUCCUUCAAAACAAUAGCCAAAUGAUUAACAGGGUUGGACUGUAGUCCCAUGGCAAAUCCAUUAUGGUCAACUCCAGAAGCCACAUUAUGAUUGCGUAUUCCGGAUUGAUGGAUGGCUUGCCAAGGAUAACUCUUCUGCCUAUGAGGUGACAUAGGUGGACUUAUUGGUCGAGUUGGAGGAGAAAUGGAAUACUUGUCACGAAUCUGACUAUGUCUAAGGUUCCUCAAGCAACUAUCAUAAUCCCCACAAAGAUCUAAUAACUUUCCUACGUCAUCAAAGCUU